GAGUUUGAUCCUGGCUCAGGAUGAACGCUAGCGGCAGGCCUAAUACAUGCAAGUCGAACGGUAACAGGGUAGCAAUACCGCUGACGAGUGGCGCACGGGUGAGUAACACGUAUGCAACCUACCUUUAACUGGAGGAUAGCCCCUCGAAAGAGGGAUUAAUACUCCAUAGUAUUUUGAUUCGGCAUCGGAUCAAUCUUAAAGCUCCGGCGGUUAAAGAUGGGCAUGCGUGACAUUAGCUAGUUGGUGAGGUAACGGCUCACCAAGGCGACGAUGUCUAGGGGUUCUGAGAGGAUUAUCCCCCACACUGGUACUGAGACACGGACCAGACUCCUACGGGAGGCAGCAGUAAGGAAUAUUGGGCAAUGGACGCAAGUCUGACCCAGCCAUGCCGCGUGCAGGAUGACGGCCCUAUGGGUUGUAAACUGCUUUUGUACGGGAAUAAACCCUUCUACGUGUAGGAGGCUGAAGGUACCGUAAGAAUAAGGAUCGGCUAACUCCGUGCCAGCAGCCGCGGUAAUACGGAGGAUCCAAGCGUUAUCCGGAUUCAUUGGGUUUAAAGGGUGCGUANGCGGGAUAAUAAGUCAGUGGUGAAAGCCUGCAGCUUAACUGCAGAACUGCCAUUGAUACUGUUAACCUUGAGUGCGUUUGAAGUGGGCGGAAUGUGUCAUGUAGCGGUGAAAUGCGCAGAUAUGACACAGAACACCGAUUGCGUNGCAGCUCACUAAACCGUAACUGACGCUGANCACGAAGCGUGGGAUCAACAGAUUAGAUACC
rnacentral:rRNA from 1 species